UGCAGGAUUUUUUUUACAUACCAUUAGGUCUGGGAUUUUGGAUUACAAAUAUACCACUUGAUAUAUGACCUUUUUCAAUAGUUUCACCUUAAUAAAGGGUAGUCAUGUUCAAAGUAAAAAAAGAUUUUAUACACAAUUAUAGUUUUGACUGGUUUAAGAAAAAAUAUAUCAUUCUGAAUCUUACCUUAAUUCAUAUAUUUUAUCUUAAGCUUUAUUGCUCAAAUUAUGAAACACUUCCCUGCCUGGUAAUCAGAUAGCCCCAGAGGAUCUCUUCU